AUUCGCCCUUUGCCAGCAGCCGCGGUAAGACGAGGGAUCCUAGCGUUGUUCGGAAUUAUUGGGCGUAAAGCGGGUGUAGGUGGCUUUAUAAGUCAGAUGUGAAAGCCCAGGGCUUAACCCUGGAAGGGCAUUUGAUACUAUUUAGCUUGAGUGUUGGAGAGGUUACUAGAAUUCCUGGUGUAGUGGUGAAAUACGUAGAUAUCAGGAGGAAUACCGGAGGCGAAGGCGGGUAACUGGCCAAACACUGACACUGAGACCCGAAAGCGUGGGGAUCAAACAGGAUUAGAUACCCUGGUAGUCC
rnacentral:rRNA from 1 species